rnacentral:rRNA from 1 species
GGGCCCGCACAAGCGGUGGAGUAUGUGGUUUAAUUCGAUGCAACGCGAAGAACCUUACCAGGGUUUGACAUCCUGCGAAUCUCUUGGAAACGAGAGAGUGCCUUCGGGAACGCAGUGACAGGUGGUGCAUGGCUGUCGUCAGCUCGUGUCGUGAGAUGUUGGGUUAAGUCCCGCAACGAGCGCAACCCACGUCUUUAGUUGCCAGCGGUUAGGCCGGGCACUCUAGAGAAACUGCCUGCGAUGAGCAGGAGGAAGGCGGGGAUGACGUCAAGUCCUCAUGGCCCUUAUGGACUGGGCUACACACGUGCUACAAUGGCGGUGACAAUGGGCAGCGAAGGGGCGACCUGGAGCAAAUCCCAAAAAGCCGUCCCAGUUCGGAUUGUACUCUGCAACUCGAGUGCAUGAAGUUGGAAUCGCUAGUAAUCGC